UGGGGAAUAUUGGACAAUGGGCGCAAGCCUGAUCCAGCCAUGCCGCGUGAGUGAUGAAGGCCCUAGGGUGGUAAAGCUCUUUCACCGGUGAAGAUAAUGACGGUAACCGGAGAAGAAGCCCCGGCUAACUUCGUGCCAGCAGCCGCGGUAAUACGAAGGGGGCUAGCGUUGUUCGGAAUUACUGGGCGUAAAGCGCACGUAGGCGGGUAUUUAAGUCAGGGGUGAAAUCCCGGAGCUCAACUCCGGAACUGCCUUUGAUACUGGGUACCUAGAGUAUGGAAGAGGUAAGUGGAAUUCCGAGUGUAGAGGUGAAAUUCGUAGAUAUUCGGAGGAACACCAGUGGCGAAGGCGGCUUAAUGGUCCAUUACUGACGCUGAGGAGCGAAAGCGUGGGGAGCAAACA
rnacentral:rRNA from 1 species